CAUAUCUGCGCCCUGCCACUCGCCGCCUCUCGCCAGUAUCCCUCGCCGUCGAUCCCGGCCUAAAUCACCACCGCGGAGCCGACCACGGUGACCACGCUGCGCCAUCCAUGGUGGCAGCACCGCGCCGCCCAUGCAGAUCGGCCGGGUUGCGACGGCCUGGUGACCUCGCAUCUCGGUGGCCGCGUCGCCUCGUGCCGAUUUGAUGCCCACCGGACCUACCGCGGGGCUUGCUCUCCGACCGGUUCCUAGGCGGGCAUCCCUCUGAUUCCUCUGCUUGCGUACGACGGGUGCCCAGGCGCGCAUCCCUGUUCUUCUACUCUGACGGCCAGCUGUCCAGAAGUUAAAUGUGAGCAUGGUAGGGAGCCAAGGUAUCUCACCCCUCCCUCCCCAAAUUUGGUGAUUAGUGUAUAGGAAUAUUUAGGAUUAACUGAUAUUGAAAUCUUUGAGCUAUAGGCUAUAGCUUAGUGAGAUAUAUAGGAACUAGUUGAUGAGGAACAACAUGAGGUGAGGCUUAUGUUUCUGAACAUUUAAUUUAGUAUAAGAGCUUAACGAUCAAUAGGUACAAUGUCUCUGCAGGCGCAUCUGGUUCUACUCCAGCUAUAGACGUAAAUUUUUAGGCUCAGAAGAAUAUUUUCAGAUGGUCAAGACAGUUGGGGCUUCUGAUGGGCUGAGAGGUUAGCAGCCCCUGUGCUUUUUAGUGGAAAGAGAUUGAAAAUCUUGGAGCACUGUAUUUCACUCCCCUGAAAAUCUUCAUGAUGCUGCUUAAAAUUUAUGAUUAUUUAUCAGUAUGUUACUAGGAUUUAGAGGGCAGAAACAUAUUUUUACACAUUGAUUACAUUGGGUUCUCAAUAAUAUUGUUCUUUGUCAGUUUUAGUGUCACGAAUGGGAUCUUUGCAAAUUCAAACAUGGCAUGUUCUUCUGUUUUGCCACUCAUGUAAUGUUGUACCAGUAAAUCGGCCUUUCAUUGGAUUAAUGUGCUGCUUUAUCGUCACCCCAUAAACUUUUUAAUACUCAUUCCAGGAGAUACACCUGUAUCAUUUAUCUAUGUGCCUUGUGCAGUUACAAAGUAACAGAUGCAAGUACUACAAUGUCAUGUCUUUUUGUUGAAUCUAUAUUGGUUAAUGAAGACGUGCAUUGCGUGUGCAUGUUUACUAGUAAGGUAAAAUAACUCUUCUUUUAUUUCAUAGAAGGAUAUAUGGAAGAUUUAAGAUUCGUAUUCGUUGAAGUUACACAAUGAUUCAUUUUUCCUAUAUUACAAUGUGGGGUGCGAGAGAACUAUACCAUUCGAUGUUUUGUCCCAUUAAAUCCUGUAUAGGUAAACGGCAUUGUAACUUGUAACUUUGGUUAAUUUCAUUUGCUAUCGAGAAGAAGCAAAAUUGGUUGAGCCCAACACCAGAAUAUUGUACUUUGUACUUUUUCUAUUGAUUAGUGCAACUAAGGUGAUGAUUGGAUUGUCGUUUCUCACUGCUAAACCCCUGUAAAAUUUACACGCCUUCCACCGUCGUUUUCUUUUUCUGACGAAAAUCGUGUGUGGCCGGUAAUGUACACAUGUAUAUUGUACACGGAUGUAUAAUUAUACACCGAUUCCAAGCGGGGUGUAAAUAUGUCAAUGAACCUGACUGGAUGUUAUUUGCUUGAGAUAGAGUUAGGUUUAGUCCAGAUCAUACUGUAUCCUUGUUAGGAAUUGUUAGGCCUGCUCACUAUAAACCUGAGCCUGUUCUGGCUUACUUUGUGUUCAAACACUUUAUUUAUCAUCGAAUUAUCUUCUUUGUUUUCAGGAACAUGUUCUUACGGGUGGCCAUGGUCUGCUGUUGAUGGACAUGCUAACUUGUAAUUCAGUAUCUUGCUCAAGGUCUUGAUGAGUGGUGUAGAUACUUUGCAUGACCAGCACAAGGUGUUGACAUCCGUUUUAAUCAGAGAUGUAGAUAGUUGGCCUGACUAAUAGUAGCAAAUAAUUGCCCAGAUCAACAGCGCCUGUACAUGCUGAUUUAGUUGUUCUUUUAGCUAUAGUUUACUUCUUAAAUGGUUAGCUCUAAAUUGACCAUGAGUCUGAUGUAUGUGUAAUUGAACGAGAAUCUGAUGUGUACAUUGCAUUUUGGCUGCAAUUUAUAAAUUUGAAUUUGGGCUCAGAAUUUAAUUA